rnacentral:rRNA from 1 species
UACAGAGGGUGCAAGCGUUAAUCGGAGUUACUGGGCGUAAAGGGCGCGUAGGCGGUUGCUUAAGUUAGAUGUGAAAUCCCUGGGCUUAACCUGAACUGCAUCUAAUACUGAGCAGCUAGAGUAUUGUAGAGGGUAGUGGAAUUUCCGGUGUAGCGGUGAAAUGCGUAGGGAUCGGAAGGAACACCAGUGGCGAAGGCGGCUACCUGGACAAAUACUGACGCUGAGGCGCGAAAGCGUGGGGAGCAAACAGG